ensembl:rRNA 5S_rRNA 5S ribosomal RNA
CCUCCUGUAUCUUCCACCCUGAAUGCGCCCCAUCUCCGCUGACCUGACAGCUCAGCAGGGUCGGGCCUGGUUAGGGCUUGGGUGGGAGCCGGCUGGGGAAUAUGGAGUGCUGUAGGC